AAUCAGGGGCUUCUCUUCAGUUGUCGAAUAAAUCUUUCGCCUUUUACUAAAUAUUUCCGUGGAGAGUAGUAAUUUAAUAAAAUGUUGGGUACGAGUGGAACCUAUGUAUAUAUAUGU